rnacentral:lncRNA from 1 species
GUUGACGGGGUCCUAAGAUGGCUGCUGGGCGACCACUUCCUGACAGCUCCAGUUAAUGGGACUGCCAGCAGGCUAGACAUCCUUCGCCGGAAUGUGCAGCGCUUAGUUCUGUGCCCGGGAGGGGCUUCUCUCUCUUUUGGGAUUGGAGUGUGGCAUUGCCGCCAGAAAGCCUGCAGAAUUCCGGGUUGUGCAGCCAAGCAGGAACGGUGUACCUUUCUAGACCCAUCCUCUUGCAAUCUUGGACCCUAAGAAAAGAUGUGGAGUGGGCUGCUACCUCCUGGCCUAAAUGAAAGUGACGCUGAGUCAAACUCGGAAGAUGAAGCUACGUUGGAGAACUCUGGACUUAACUUACAGGAAGAUAAAGAGGAUGAGAGCAUCAGAAAAACAGAAAUCAUAGAUUUCUCAACAGAUGAACCAAAAACUGAAACAGAGUCAAAUGUAAAUGCCUAUGAAGAGUGUCCUUCUGGAAUUCCCAUAGAUAUGUGGAAUAAAUUUCAAGAAUUGCAUAAAAAACAUUCUGAACAGAAAAGCACAACCUCAAGAUUCAGAGGGAAAAGAAGAAAACGCUCCAGAAAAGUGAACCGUCCUCAAAUGAAACCCAGUGGAAAGAGCUUACUCAGUAUUUUGGAGUCAAUGAUAGAUUUGACCCGCCUGUUAAAAGGAAAAAAGUUGAGAAGUCAGGCCUUGAAAAGAGGAUAGACCAGGCUGUGGAGGAGUGGAAUAUUGAGAAGGCUGAGGAACUCAGCAACCAGCUAGCUACUCGAGAGGAAAAUCAUGGGAGUAAUGUUGUGUGUUUCUCAGUGUCAGCGAUCCAGAGACUCGUGCUGUCUCUUUGUCCCUUUCCUGAUGGUGUUACUUCGAUUAACUACUUCAGCUUGGUGUAAAAAUUGCCAAAGCAGUUGCCUGCCACAACUUUGUAAAAGCCAAAAAGGAGGUUGAAAAUUCACAGGCUGCCCGAAAAAAGAAGAAACUUGCAUGGGGGUUUGAAGCAAAGAAGAGAUGGGAAACCAAAAGCAACAUGGGAUACAUGUAACUUGCCAGAGUGCUUCAAGACAUUUGUAGACUCAAAUGCUCAAUUUACUGAGAAUGUUUUCCUGCCUAUGUUAAUAUGUCAGAAAAUUGAUAGCACUAAAACAAAAAUAAGCAUAAAAUUUGGGAUUUUGAUUAUCA